rnacentral:rRNA from 1 species
GAUCAUGGCUCAGGAUGAACGCUAGCUACAGGCUUAACACAUGCAAGUCGAGGGGCGAGCAUUUUAGUUUUGCUUGCAAACUGAAGAUGGCGACCGGCGCACGGGUGAGUAACACGUAUCCAACCUGCCGAUAACUCCGGGAUAGCCUUUCGAAAGAAAGAUUAAUACCGGAUAGCAUACGAAUAUCGCAUGAUAUUUUUAUUAAAGAAUUUCGGUUAUCGAUGGGGAUGCGUUCCAUUAG